UUAUAAAUAGGAUGCCACAUUCUGUUGUUACCAGUAUUUUGUAUUGUUCCAUAAUGUAAUCCUUCAUAUACUGGACAAACCUCAAAGGAGACACAUGGUGGACCUGACUGCAUUGGAAUUGUUUCUUUUGUAGGUUGUGUUGGUGUUGGAUGUUCUUCUACAUUGAAGAGUGUUGUGGUGAUAUGCAGUUUUUUAUUAUUUUAAUUUAUGUUUUUUCUGCAGAUGUGAUAUUAUUCUAAUUUCUUUUACAUAUUCUCUUGGUGUUGGAGGUAGGUUUCUUACUGACAAAAAGGUGGUGUUCUGACAUCUAAUUUCUUAUUCUUUUCCUUUUUUUUUGCAUUACUGUUCUAGAGUCUUUAACUGUUACUGUUAAAAUACCUGCAAUGGGUCAGUGAGAGUCCCUCUUGUUUAAUUCUUCCUAUUUCACGUAAAACACGAGGUGUCAGAAGUUUUUUGUUUUUAUGUUUGCAUUGUAUGUAUUCAUGCAUAUUUAUUUUGUGCAGCUUUUUAUGUUCCUAUUUGUUUCAGAGGAUCUAUUGGUAUUCAAAGUUGUUUCACACUUUUUGGACGGUUGUGUCAUGAUAUGCAGAUAAUUCUGUGUUUGUAUUUAAUUAUGUCGUUAUUUUUUAAUUGAUUUAUGCAGUAUUUUAUGUGUUUCAUUUUACUGUUGGAGUUUCUUUGGAGGAU